rfam:Leptotrichia buccalis DSM 1135, complete genome.
AAUGAUAAAGAUAAAAACACAGUUCUGGUUGGUAGUCCAGACGCAGUAAUGUAAGUAACCUGCCUCCUUAGGUUGUCCAUUCUUUAUUAUAAAUUU